CAAGAGAUUUCCUACUGGGUGGGAAGUGAUAUCUCAUUGUGGUUUUGUUUUACAUUUUCUUAGUGGCUAAUAAUUUUGAGCACCUUUUUAUGUGUUUUUUUGUUAUUUUGUAUCUUCUUUGGAAAAAUAUGUAUUCAAAUCUUUUGUUCAUUUUUAAACUGGGUUAUUUGUGCAUCUAUAAUAAUUUUCUGUAUAACAAGGAUACUGGAUACUUAUCAGGUUUUCUAAAACUUCUGGAGACAUAGAAGCAGGAGAUUGUGAGAAAAGGACUACCUAUGAAAUUGAAGAAAAGCUAUUGAUUUGGAUAGGUAGAGAGAUACACAAUGGAGAAAAGACAGUCUCUUCAAUUAGUACUGCUGGGAAAACUGAACAGCUACAUGGCAGAAGAAUGAAAGUAGAGAAUAAUUAUUUUCAAGAACAAAAGCCACGACGUGCCACAGACACAAUUCAAAUGAUCAAAUGGUUUUCCAACAGAUUCAAAUAGAUCUGAAAUUAUCUCCAUGACCUCCAGAGCUCCCUCUCCAAUCUAGUCUCCUCCCUACUCCUCACCCCUGACUCAUUGCAUUCUAGACCCUCUGCCCUUUUGGCUGCUCUUAAGUGUGCCCAAAACACACCUAACUGAGGACAUUUGCAUCAGUUAUUCAUUAUGCCUUAAAUAUUGUCCCCAUAACUCAUUCUCUUAGCCCAUUCAAGUUUCUGCUCAAAUACUUCUGCUUCUGAAACGCCUUCCCUUGCAACCUUAUCAAAAAGUUAUAUGCCUUGUUACCUUUUCCAUUUUU